rnacentral:misc_RNA from 1 species
GAUGAAGAACGUAGUGAAAUGCGAUAAGUAAUGUGAAUUGCAGAAUUCCGUGAAUCAUCGAAUCUUUGAACGCACAUUGCGCCCCCUGGCAUUCCGGGGGGCAUGCCUGUCCGAGCGUCAUUUCUGCCCUCCAGCCCGGCUGGGUGUUGGGCGCUGUCCCCCCGGGACACGCCCCAAAGGCAGUGGCGGCGCCGCGUCGGGUCCUCGAGCGUAUGGGGCUUUGUCACCCGCUCGGGACGGACUCGUCGGCGCUGGUCUUCCUCCAGGCGACCCUUCGGGGCUCGUCUUCCUUCGGUUGACCUCGGAUCAGGUAGGGUUACCCGCUGAACUUAAGCAUAUCAAUAAGCGGAGGA